rnacentral:rRNA from 1 species
UACCAAUUGCGAAGGCAGCUUUCUGGAUCAUUACUGACACUGAGGAACGAAAGCAUGGGUAGCGAAGAGGAUUAGAUACCCUCGUAGUCCAUGCCGUAAACGAUGUGUGUUAGACGUUGGAAAUUUAUUUUCAGUGUCGCAGGGAAACCGAUAAACACACCGCCUGGGGAGUACGACCGCAAGGUUAAAACUCAAAUGAAUUGACGGGGACCCGCACAAGUAGUGGAGCAUGUGGUUUAAUUCGAAGAUACGCGCAGAACCUUACCAACACUUGACAUGUUCGUCGCGACUCUAAGAGAUUAGAGUUUUCGGUUCGGCCGGACGAAACACAGGUGCUGCAUGGCUGUCGUCAGCUCGUGUCGUGAGAUGUUGGGUUAAGUCCCGCAACGAGCGCAACCCUCACUUUUAGUUGCCAUCAUUAAGUUGGGCACUCUGAAAGAACUGCCAGUGAUAAGCUGGAGGAAGGUGGGGAUGACGUCAAGUCCUCAUGGCCCUUACGUGUUGGGCUACACACGUGCUACAAUGGCAUCUACAACAGGAAGCAAAACGGCAACGUUAAGCAAAUCCCGAAAAGAUGCCUCAGUUCGGAUUGCACCCUGCAACUCGAGUGCAUGAAGCUGGAAUUACUAGUAAUCGUGGAUCAGCGUGCCACGGUGAAUGCGUUCCCGGGUCUUGUACACACCGCCCGUCACACCAUGGGAGUUGGUUCUACCUUAAGGCAAGGUUUUAAACCCUUGACCACGGUAUAGUCAGCGACUGGGGUGAAGUCGUAACAAGGUAACCGUA